rnacentral:piRNA from 1 species
UAGCCAUGAUGGGAUACCCAGUAGGCAGA